ACGCUCGACACCUACGGGAGGCAGCAGUGGGGAAUAUUGCACAAUGGGGGAAACCCUGAUGCAGCGACGCCGCGUGGAGGAAGAAGGUCUUCGGAUUGUAAACUCCUGUUGUUGGGGAAAAAGAAGAUGGUACCCAACAAGGAAGUGACGGCUAACUACGUGCCAGCAGCAGCGGUAAUCUGAGCGGGCUGGCAAGGC
rnacentral:rRNA from 1 species